AGGCGCGUAGCUCAACUGGCAGAGCACCGGUCUCCAAAACCGGGGGUUGGGGGUUCGAGUCCCUCCGCGCCUG
rnacentral:tRNA from 1 species